rnacentral:rRNA from 1 species
AUGACAUCUGCAAUAUUUGGUAGCCGUGUUGCUCAUCUGGGUGCUGACAUGCGGAUGAAGCUGAAGGCAGCAUAUACGUUGAUAGAGCAACUGUAUACCGGUGCCCAACAAGUUAUUUGUGCAGUCUCAUACAACAAACCAGCACCAACAUUGAUCAAGGAGACACUAGCCAAAUUGUCGAUGACACCGGCACAGAUAGAAGAAAUGAAGCAAUCUGCUACCAGGACUGGCGCUUUGUUGGCACUGACUCGGGCCAAAGCAUGGAUAGCUGAUCUGGAUCCAGUUGAUAUUGCCAAGGGCUACCCCGAUGAACAAGAAAACGGGUCAGAAUUUGAUAAUGAAGCCCUUCAAGCCCUGACAAAGGAGAUGCAUCCGCUGGCAAGUUAA